rnacentral:tRNA from 1 species
GGAGGUGUAGCUCAGGAGGUGGAGCACCUGCCUCGAGAGCUGGCAGUUCUGAAUUUAAACCUCAGCAUCGCCA